AGGGACUGGUAUAUCAGUUUGGGCCGUUAUAGUAGGUUGCACUUCAGGGGGCAACAUGAGUGCCUGGGCCAGAGAAUGGGAUAGGGAGGUGGACACCGAGCCCAUGGCUGAAGCCAAGGCUCGCUGGACCAAACCGGCCAUAGUUGAUUCCAGGAGAGACUGGAAUUCCUGAGAGGGUAAAUGACCCGGGUCUAGGCCAGGGGUGGGUAAGGUAUUCUCUAUAUUAGGGCAUCCAGGGCCCCCAUGUCCAUCCCCGUGAUUUUGCAUUGUAUUAUCCAAUUCACCAAUGGGAAUGACUGAAUAGGUGUGCAACCAAUGGAAAUGACUGAAUGGGAAUGACUGAAUAGGUGUGCUAGGCAGGGAGCAACAGGUCUGGAUAAAUCCC